UAUAGUAUUUGAUCCCUUAAAAUAGUAGGAUACUAUAAUAUUAUAUAGUAGGUUUGACAACCCUAGCGACUCAGUCGUUCUGCAGUUCCUAUGAUUUCCCGUCUUGGCUGAUGGCUCAUUCAUUUGCAACGCAGUGCGCAGAGGUAUCAUCGUGGUUUCAGCUCAGUACAUCAAAAGUGUAUGGGAAGAUAAAGGAAUAGUUAAAAAUGCUUGAAAAUUAGAGAAGUUCAUCAAAAAUCACAGCGGAACGCAGAAAAAGGAUUAGACCAGGCAUUAUUUAAUUAUCGGAUGAUCAAUGACGAAGAAUUCUACAUGACACAAACGAAGACAUUAUUUUGUUUAUUUGUAUAAAUGCAUAAAAAACU